UACAGAGGUCUCAAGCGUUGUUCGGAUUCAUUGGGCGUAAAGGGUGCGUAGGCGGGUGCUCAAGUCCGUGGUGAAAUCCUCCGGCUCAACCGGAGAACUGCCUCGGAUACUGGGUGCCUCGAGGGUGGUAGGGGUAUGCGGAACUAUCGGUGGAGCGGUGAAAUGCGUUGAUAUCGAUAGGAACUCCGGUGGCGAAGGCGGCAUACUGGACCACCUCUGACGCUGAGGCGCGAAAGCGUGGGGAGCGAACAGG
rnacentral:rRNA from 1 species